rnacentral:rRNA from 1 species
CUGGCUCAGGACGAACGCUGGCGGCGUGCUUAACACAUGCAAGUCGAACGAGCAGAUUUUCAGCACUGAAUGCUUGAGGCAUUAACUUCGAGCGUCGUGACGACGAAGUCGUCACCACACCUUUUAUUAGUGCUUAACUUAACUGGACGGUUGAGUCGGAAUCGAGCAUUGAGUGCUGGAAAGAUGCGAGUGGCAAACGGGUGAGUAACGCGUAGACAACCUGCCGCAAAGAUGGGGACAACAGUCCGAAAGGACUGCUAAUACCGAAUGUUGUCAGUUUCUCGCAUGAGAGACUGAUUAAAGAUGGCCUCUACUUGUAAGCUAUCGCUUUGCGAUGGGUCUGCGUCUGAUUAGCUAGUUGGUGGGGUAACGGCCUACCAAGGCGACGAUCAGUAGCCGGUCUGAGAGGAUGAACGGCCACAUUGGAACUGAGACACGGUCCAGACUCCUACGGGAGGCAGCAGUGGGGAAUCUUCCGCAAUGGGCGAAAGCCUGACGGAGCAACGCCGCGUGAGUGCUUAACUUAACUGGACGGUUGAGUCGGAAUCGAGCAUUGAGUGCUGGAAAGAUGCGAGUGGCAAACGGGUGAGUAACGCGUAGACAACCUGCCGCAAAGAUGGGGACAACAGUCCGAAAGGACUGCUAAUACCGAAUGUUGUCAGUUUCUCGCAUGAGAGACUGAUUAAAGAUGGCCUCUACUUGUAAGCUAUCGCUUUGCGAUGGGUCUGCGUCUGAUUAGCUAGUUGGUGGGGUAACGGCCUACCAAGGCGACGAUCAGUAGCCGGUCUGAGAGGAUGAACGGCCACAUUGGAACUGAGACACGGUCCAGACUCCUACGGGAGGCAGCAGUGGGGAAUCUUCCGCAAUGGGCGAAAGCCUGACGGAGCAACGCCGCGUGAGU